rnacentral:rRNA from 1 species
AGUGAGGAAUAUUGGUCAAUGGACGCAAGUCUGAACCAGCCAUGUCGCGUGAAGGAAGACGGUUCUAUGGAUUGUAAACUUCUUUUAUAUGGGAAUAAUGGUCUUUACGUGUAAAGAUUUGAAGGUACUAUAUGAAUAAGCACCGGCUAACUCCGUGCCAGCAGCCGCGGUAAUACGGAGGGUGCGAGCGUUAUCCGGAUUUAUUGGGUUUAAAGGGUGCGUAGGCGGACUAUUAAGUCAGUGGUGAAAUCUUGCAGCUUAACUGUAAAACUGCCAUUGAUACUGAUAGUCUUGAAUUUAGUUGAGGUAGGCGGAAUGUGUUGUGUAGCGGUGAAAUGCAUAGAUAUAACACAGAACACCGAUUGCGAAGGCAGCUUACUAAGCUAUAAUUGACGCUGAUGCACGAAAGCGUGGGUAGCGAA